CUUCUUUGCAGGGGGUUUGCAUCUAAAUCUGUAUAUGCAUUUAGUAGUUUUUUUAGAACUCGUAUUGCCUGCUGCGGUACGUUUCAAAAUUCUAUGUUCCCUCUUACAAUCCACCGACUUUCCACACAGCAAUAAAAGGACAGCCAUGACUAGUGCCCAAGCCACCAACACACUCGGUUUCAUUUUGUGUAUAUAGGUCUGAAUCAAUUGUAUUCUCUAAGUGAAGCGAGUUCCAGAUAUCUUGCUUGUAGACUGUUC